rnacentral:pre_miRNA from 1 species
UAGGGUGGCCAACUGUCCUGGUUUGCCUGGGGACUGCGGGGCUUCCCAGGAUGCGGACUUUUAGUGCUAAGACUAGAUAUGUCCUGGGCAAACCAGGACAGUUGGCCAUCCUGUUCUUUA